GGGAAGGUGGCUCAUUGGUAGAGCGCUUGCCUUGCAUGCAUGAGGCCCUGGG
rnacentral:tRNA from 1 species